UGGGGAAUAUUGCACAAUGGGCGCAAGCCUGAUGCAGCCAUGCCGCGUGUGUGAAGAAGGCCUUCGGGUUGUAAAGCACUUUCAGCGAGGAGGAAGGCGUUAAGGUUAAUAACCUUAGCGAUUGACGUUACUCGCAGAAGAAGCACCGGCUAACUCCGUGCCAGCAGCCGCGGUAAUACGGAGGGUGCAAGCGUUAAUCGGAAUUACUGGGCGUAAAGCGCACGCAGGCGGUUUGUUAAGUCAGAUGUGAAAUCCCCGAGCUUAACUUGGGAACUGCAUUUGAAACUGGCAAGCUAGAGUCUUGUAGAGGG
rnacentral:rRNA from 1 species